UGCCAGCAGCCGCGGUAAUACGGAGGGUGCAAACGUUGUUCGGAAUUACUGGGCAUAAAGAGCUCGUAGGCGGCUAUGUAAGUGUGGAGUGAAAUCCCACGGCUCACCCGUGGAACUGCUUUGCAGACUGCAUGGCUAGAGGAUGGUAGGGGAGAGCGGAACUCCUGGUGGAGCGGUGAAAUGCGUAGAUAUCAGGAGGAACACCGGUGGCGAAGGCGGCUCUCUGGUCCACCCCUGACGCUGAGGAGCGAAAGCCAGGGUAGCGAACGGGAUUAGAUA
rnacentral:rRNA from 1 species